CCUACGGGAGGCAGCAGUGAGGAAUAUUGGUCAAUGGGCGAGAGCCUGAACCAGCCAAGUCGCGUGAAGGAUGACGGCCCUACGGGUUGUAAACUUCUUUUGUCCGGGAGCAAUUGAGUCCACGUGUGGUCUUAUCACUAGUACCUGAAGAAAAAGCAUCGGCUAACUCCGUGCCAGCAGCCGCGGUAAUACGGAGGAUGCGAGCGUUAUCCGGAUUUUUUGGGUUUAAAGGGUGCGUAGGCGGAAUAUCAAGUCAGCGGUAAAAAUUCGGGGAUAAACCGCGUCGUGCCGUUGAAACUGAUGUUCUUGAGUGGGCGAGAAGUAUGCGGAAUGCGUGGUGUAGCGGUGAAAUGCAUAGAUAGCACGCAGAAAUCCGAUUGCGAAGGCAGCAUACCGGCGCACAACUGACGCUGAAGCACGAAAGCGUGGGGAUCGAACAGGAUUAGAUACCCCAGUAGUC
rnacentral:rRNA from 1 species